rnacentral:tRNA from 1 species
AGAAAUUUAGGUUAAGCAGACCAAACCAAGAGCCUUCAAAGCCCUAAACAGAGGAAAAACCCUCUAAUUUCUG